GGGGGGAAGCCCUGCCGCGCGGGGUUCCAUCAACCCCCGCAACGACUGCUCCCCGCUCGUCCCCUCCCUGGAAACAGCGUCAUUCGACCUCCUUCUUCGAGGACUCGGUUCCUGACUCACUCCACCAGAUACAGAAUACAGAGAGCAGCGUUUUGAUCCAGGAAAUGGGGAGAGGCAGUGUCUAAAAGUGGAUUAAAAAGUUCAGCCAGAGAGUUUUCAACUUCAAUCACUGUGUCUCACUCCAGGGCAUGUUGACAGCUGAGCAGAAAGACCGCCUUUGGUUUUGUUCCAAGUACUUUACGCAGAUCAGCUCUUCCAUGCCCACAACGAUCCCAUGAGUGGCUGACACUGUCUUGGGAGCCGGCCGAACUAGUACAGUGAGGAGCACUGUGCACAUCUCCUUGCUGGAGGAGGUCUGGGUGCAGACACAAGAGUCCAGGGCCUUCCGCAGCAGUUAUCAACGAGCCCUUGGCACUGCCUUACUCAGUUUUAACCUAAUCUCUAAACAUCACAAUGGCCAUGUAAACGUCACCUGCAAAGCCAUGUACCUAAUAAAAGAUUUCUCGAAUUGCUAGGGUGCCCCUUUUCAUUAAAAACAAACAAACAAAAAACAUUGUUCAGUUCUAGUGUGGAAAGGGAGAAAGGUCUGGACAGUUAUAUUUUUAAAUAACACCCCAUCACCACCGACAGCCAGAAGGACUCUGUUUCCACCACAUUACACUACCCUUUACCCCCACAGUAAAGAAUCUGGUUGGACUGCCUAAAUUACUCAGACAAUUGCCUAGAUAAUUAUACAUUUCCCAUUACUCGUUGUACAGAAAGUUUUGAUUUAUAGGAGAUCUUAGUGUUAAAAGAGGAGUCUAUUCUACCCAGACACUCUGUGUAAGACUUGUAUUUUCUUAGAGCAGCCAUACAACUUUAAAGUAUGGCAAACCAAUCUUCCCCACGCCUUUAAAAAUCUAAAUGGCUUGCUAUUGACUUUAUAAACUUAGAACUCACUGUGUCUGGAUCAUGUUAAGUAACAUUUAGUCUGAUUGUUUUAGUGUGAGUGUGUAUCAAGGCCAUUACAGUAGUUUUUGUCUCUGUUUCUAACAUGAAAUUUGACACAUCUGAAGGAAAUCCAGUGGAUAAUGCUACCAAGUGCACAGUGCACAUAUAACACUUGUGGGCUAUCGGUGUACAAAGGUCAAAUAUUUACAUGGAAUGUGGAUCCUGACUUAUAAAACUACUAUUUUAAAUUAUGACAUCUUUACAUACAAUUUAUUUUAUGAAUAGCUCCAUUUGAUAAUUAAAAAAAUAUGCCUUUCAAAGAUUUCAUAAAUAUAUAAAAUUUCACUACAUUCUAUUUUUCUUUAAA